rnacentral:rRNA from 1 species
UGGGGAAUAUUGCACAAUGGGGGAAACCCUGAUGCAGCAACGCCGCGUGAGUGAUGAAGGUUUUCGGAUCGUAAAGCUCUGUCUUUGGGGAAGAUAAUGACGGUACCCAAGGAGGAAGCCACGGCUAACUACGUGCCAGCAGCCGCGGUAAUACGUAGGUGGCGAGCGUUAUCCGGAUUUACUGGGCGUAAAGGGAGCGUAGGCGGAUGAUUAAGUGGGAUGUGAAAUACCCGGGCUCAACUUGGGUGCUGCAUUCCAAACUGGUUAUCUAGAGUGCAGGAGAGGAGAGUGGAAUUCCUAGUGUAGCGGUGAAAUGCGUAGAGAUUAGGAGGAACAUCAGUGGCGAAGGCGACUAUCUGGACAGUAACUGACGCUGAUGCGCGAAAGCGUGGGGAGCAAACA